rnacentral:rRNA from 1 species
UACGAAGGGGGCUAGCGUUGCUCGGAAUGACUGGGCGUAAAGGGCGCGUAGGCGGCCGAUCAAGUCGGGGGUGAAAGCCUGUGGCUUAACCACAGAAUGGCCUUCGAUACUGUUUGGCUUGAGACCGGAAGAGGUUAGUGGAACUGCGAGUGUAGAGGUGAAAUUCGUAGAUAUUCGCAAGAACACCAGUGGCGAAGGCGGCUGACUGGUCCGGUUCUGACGCUGAGGCGCGAAAGCGUGGGGAGCAAACAGG